rnacentral:rRNA from 1 species
UCCGUUGGUGAACCAGCGGAGGGAUCAUUACAGAGUUGCAAAACUCCCAAACCAUCGUGAACGUUACCUACAUCGUUGCUUCGGCGGGUGGCGGGCUUCGGCCCUGCCCUCGGCCCCUCUCGGGGGCCCGCCGGAGGUACACCAAACUCUUGAAUUUACAUGGCCUCUCUGAGUCUUCUGUACUGAAUAAGUCAAAACUUUCAACAACGGAUCUCUUGGUUCUGGCAUCGAUGAAGAACGCAGCGAAAUGCGAUAAGUAAUGUGAAUUGCAGAAUUCAGUGAAUCAUCGAAUCUUUGAACGCACAUUGCGCCCGCCAGUAUUCUGGCGGGCAUGCCUGUCCGAGCGUCAUUUCAACCAUCAAGCCCCCGGCUUGUGUUGGGGACCUGCGGCACACCCGCAGGCCCUGAAAACCAGUGGCGGGCUCGCUGUCCACACCGAGCGUAGUAGCAUAUCUUUGUCUCGCUCAGGGCGUGCGGCGGGUUCCGGCCGUGAAACCCACCUUCUCGAAGGUACCCAAAGGUUGACCUCGGAUCAGGUAGGAAGACCCGCUGAACUUAAGCAUAUCAAUAAGCGGAGGA